rnacentral:rRNA from 1 species
CACCAGCCCCUCGAGUGGUGGGGACUAUUAUUUGGCCUAAAGCGUCCGUAGCUGACUGUAUCCGUCUCCCGGUAAAUCCGGCGUCCUAAGCGUCGGUUCUCGGGUGAUACCAUACAGCUAGAGGGUGGGAUAGGUGAGCGGUAUUUCUGGGGUAGGGGCGAAAUCCUUUGAUCCCAGGAGGACCACCAGUGGCGAAGGCUGCUCACUAGAACACGCCUGACGGUCAGGGACGAAAGCUGGGGCAGCGAACCGGAUUAGAUACCCGGGUAGUCCCAGCUGUAAACGAUGCUAGCUAGGUGUUGGGUCGGCCACGCGCCGCCCCAGUGCCGCAGGGAAGCCGUUAAGCUAGCCGCCUGGGGAGUACGGCCGCAAGGCUGAAACUUAA